ensembl:lincRNA
ACAGCAAGAGCUUUACUGCUGCAAACCAAGUACGGCUCCCACUGUCACCCAGCACUUGGGAGGCUGAGGAGAGCCCACGGAUUUGGCAAGUCUGGAUAGCCAGCUUGUCCCUGGGAUCCUCUGCUCCUCCCGCCUGAGAUCUAGCACGGCAAGUGGACCGCCAUAUCUGCCUGAGGACCACCACAUCUGCCUGUGGACCAUUACAUCUGCCUGUGGACCACUACAUCUGUCUGGAUUUUAUCGCAUGGUGAUGCUCUCGACUUGGGAGUGAAUCACAGCAAGAAAGCCCUGCAUCGUAGGUAGCUCUCCUCGGUACAUUCCUGACUCUCUUUGGCCAAAGGAUGGAAAUCUCUGAAGAUAAUGACUCUUCUGUGACUUCUCUCUUCCUACUUACUUCUGUUGGGUUGAGUUCCCUUGUGGCCUGCUGAUUGGCCCUGGCAAUGUACCUGUUAGUGGUGGAGGGCAGUUUGGAGAGUUACUUCCACUAAGUUGAUAAAUGCCCUCCCCCACAACGGUUUUCUAGACUCCAGUCACAAUCAACACCUUCUUUCCAAAUUCCCCAACCACAUUGUUCAGGAAGCAGAAGCAUCUAGAAGCCACAGGGAACUGUUGGACUCAACCUGUAGAAAACUGGAUGGAGGUUAGCUAGCCCUCCCUCCCGGGAGCUCCGACCUACUCCAGGGUGAAGAAAGCGAACUUGUAUUGUGUAAAUUGUACCCAGCACUGUCUCAGGAAGUACCGUAGCUUCCUGAUUGUGAAUGCAGAUAAUAAAGUGUAAGGCCGUAGCGGCUAAGGACGAAAGCCACCAACCCACCAAAAUGUAGAAAAUGACAUUUCUAAGCCUCAGGUGCAAGAGAGUCAUUAUAAUGGUUAGGAGGCCUCAGGCAAGGAAUUGGUUUCCUGUCUUAAGCAAAGAUCACUGGGAGCUUUGAGAAUGGCAGGGAAGGGUUGGGAGACCUCUCCGCUGGUCACACAACCGUUGGGUUUCCAGGGAGUCAGGACUGCUACUUGCCACUUCCGCUCCCCUAUUUUCUAAGAGAAAUUAUGAAACAGAACUUGAUAAAGAAAAAGUAAAUUUAUUUACAGCUGGAAAAAACUGGGGAGAAAGAACCUAGUUUCUUUCCUCAGUGUCUAUGGUUAGGAUUUUUCAAAACCCCUAAGACACAGGCCAGAAUAUUGCAGAUUUACCUCUGACAGUUAGGCUGGUCUUGAUCUAGGGGCAGAGUGACUCAGCCCUGGGUUGCCGGAACUCCCGGCAGGCUGCCUGGUGCUGCUUCUGCCUCCUUCAUACACACAAGCAUACAUGCACAUGUAUGUAUUAUAUACACAAACACAUAUGAACAUAUAUGUAUUAUACACAUAAGCAUACAUGCACGUGUAUGUAUUAUACGCACCAACAUAUAUUAACAUAUAUGUAUUAUACACACACGCACACAUAUGUAUUAUACACACAAACAUACAUGCGCAUAUUUGUAUUACACAUACAUGGUUAUUAGACAUUUGAAAUAUGAAGAGUGUGAGAAGCUGGUUUUAAAAUUUUUAAAUGAAAAUUUAUCAUUUUAAAAUAAAAAAAAUUAUUUUGAG